rnacentral:rRNA from 1 species
GAUCAUGGCUCAGGACGAACGCUGGCGGCGUGCUUCAUACAUGCAAGUCGAACGAGAAGCUGACUUCGGUCAGUAGAAAGUGGCGGACGGGUGAGUAAUGUGUAGAGAAUCUGCCCUAGAGUGGGGGACAACAGUUGGAAACGACUGCUAAUACCGCAUAUGAGCGUACCUGAAAUGGUAUUCUUGAAAACUCCGGUGCUCUGGGAUGAGUCUGCAUCUGAUUAGCUAGUUGGCGGUGUAAUGGACCACCAAGGCGACGAUCAGUAGCUGGUUUGAGAGGAUGAUCAGCCACAAUGGGACUGAGACACGGCCCAUACUCCUACGGGAGGCAGCAGUAGGGAAUUUUGCGCAAUGGGGGAAACCCUGACGCAAGCAACGCCGCGUGAUUGAAUAAGCCCUUCGGGGUGUAAAGAUCUGUCAGUAGGGACGAAACUUGACGGUACCUACAGAGGAAGCAUCGGCUAACUCCGUGCCAGCAGCAGC